CGCGAAUGGCUCAUUACAACAGCCGUUGUUUCUUGGAUCUUGUUUUACUUAGAUAACUGUGGUAAUUCUAGAGCUAAUACAUGCUAAAAAGCUCUAACCUUACGGAAAGAGCGCAUUUAUUAGACCAAGACCAAACAGGCUUUGCCUGGAAUCUGGUGACUCUGAAUAACUUUGCUGGUCACAUGGUCCUAGCACCGGUGACAUUUCUUUCAAGUGUCUGCCCUAUCAACUUUCGAUGGUAGCUUAUGCGCCUACCAUGGUGGUAACGGGUAACGGAGAAUAAGGGUUCGACUCCGGAGAGGGAGCCUGAGAAACGGCUACCACAUCCAAGGAAGGCAGCAGGC
rnacentral:rRNA from 2 species